rnacentral:rRNA from 1 species
AAAUUGAAGAGUUUGAUCAUGGCUCAGAUUGAACGCUGGCGGCAGGCCUAACACAUGCAAGUCGAGCGGUAGCACAGAGAGCUUGCUCUCGGGUGACGAGCGGCGGACGGGUGAGUAAUGUCUGGGAAACUGCCUGAUGGAGGGGGAUAACUACUGGAAACGGUAGCUAAUACCGCAUAACGUCGCAAGACCAAAGUGGGGGACCUUCGGGCCUCAUGCCAUCAGAUGUGCCCAGAUGGGAUUAGCUAGUAGGUGGGGUAACGGCUCACCUAGGCGACGAUCCCUAGCUGGUCUGAGAGGAUGACCAGCCACACUGGAACUGAGACACGGUCCAGACUCCUACGGGAGGCAGCAGUGGGGAAUAUUGCACAAUGGGCGCAAGCCUGAUGCAGCCAUGCCGCGUGUGUGAAGAAGGCCUUCGGGUUGUAAAGCACUUUCAGCGGGGAGGAAGGCGGUGAGGUUAAUAACCUCAUCGAUUGACGUUACCCGCAGAAGAAGCACCGGCUAACUCCGUGCCAGCAGCCGCGGUAAUACGGAGGGUGCAAGCGUUAAUCGGAAUUACUGGGCGUAAAGCGCACGCAGGCGGUCUGUCAAGUCGGAUGUGAAAUCCCCGGGCUCAACCUGGGAACUGCAUUCGAAACUGGCAGGCUAGAGUCUUGUAGAGGGGGGUAGAAUUCCAGGUGUAGCGGUGAAAUGCGUAGAGAUCUGGAGGAAUACCGGUGGCGAAGGCGGCCCCCUGGACAAAGACUGACGCUCAGGUGCGAAAGCGUGGGGAGCAAACAGGAUUAGAUACCCUGGUAGUCCACGCCGUAAAGAUGUCGAUUUGGAGGUUGUGCCCUUGAGGCGUGGCUUCCGGAGCUAACGCGUUAAAUCGACCGCCUGGGGAGUACGGCCGCAAGGUUAAAACUCAAAUGAAUUGACGGGGGCCCGCACAAGCGGUGGAGCAUGUGGUUUAAUUCGAUGCAACGCGAAGAACCUUACCUGGUCUUGACAUCCACAGAACUUUCCAGAGAUGGAUUGGUGCCUUCGGGAACUGUGAGACAGGUGCUGCAUGGCUGUCGUCAGCUCGUGUUGUGAAAUGUUGGGUUAAGUCCCGCAACGAGCGCAACCCUUAUCCUUUGUUGCCAGCGGUUAGGCCGGGAACUCAAAGGAGACUGCCAGUGAUAAACUGGAGGAAGGUGGGGAUGACGUCAAGUCAUCAUGGCCCUUACGACCAGGGCUACACACGUGCUACAAUGGCAUAUACAAAGAGAAGCGACCUCGCGAGAGCAAGCGGACCUCAUAAAGUAUGUCGUAGUCCGGAUUGGAGUCUGCAACGACUCCAUGAAGUCGGAAUCGCUAGUAAUCGUAGAUCAGAAUGCUACGGUGAAUACGUUCCCGGGCCUUGUACACACCGCCCGUCACACCAUGGGAGUGGGUUGCAAAAGAAGUAGGUAGCUUAACCUUCGGGAGGGCGCUUACCACUUUGUGAUUCAUGACUGGGGUGAAGUCGUAACAAGGUAACCGUAGGGGAACCUGCGGUUGGAUCACCUCCUUA